UAGGGAAUAUUGGGCAAUGGGCGGAAGCCUGACCCAGCCACGCCGCGUGCAGGAAGACGGCCCUCUGGGUUGUAAACUGCUUUUGAUUGGGAAGAAAGCAGCUCAUGCGUGAGAAUUUGACGGUACCAAUCGAAUAAGCCACGGCUAACUACGUG
rnacentral:rRNA from 1 species